rnacentral:rRNA from 1 species
CAGCCGCCGCGGUAAUACGAAGGGGGCUAGCGUUGCUCGGAAUGACUGGGCGUAAAGGGCGCGUAGGCGGCGAUCAAAGUCAGGCGUGAAAUUCCUGGGCUCAACCUGGGGGCUGCGCUUGAUACUUGGUUGCUUGAGUGGGGAAGAGGGUCGUGGAAUUCCCAGUGUAGAGGUGAAAUUCGUAGACAUUGGGAAGAACACCGGUGGCGAAGGCGGCGACCUGGUCCUUGACUGACGCUGAGGCGCGAAAGCGUGGGGAGCAAACAGGAUUAGAUACCCGCGUAGUCCCUGUCUCUUAUAC